GUGCUCGCUCUGGCAGCACAUAUACUAAAAUUGGAAUGAUACAGAGAAGAUUAGCAUGGCUCCCGCGCAAGGAUUACAUGCAAGUUCGUGAAGAAUGAGUUUCUAAACUUCU
ensembl:snRNA U6 U6 spliceosomal RNA